CAGAGGUCUCAACCGUUGUUCGGAUUCAUUGGGCGUAAAGGGUGCGUAGGCUGCGGAGUAAGUCAGGUGUGAAAUCUCGGGGCUCAACCCCGAAACUGCACUUGAUACUGCUUCGCUCGAGUACUGGAGAGGAGACUGGAAUUUACGGUGUAGCAGUGAAAUGCGUAGAUAUCGUAAGGAAGACCAGUGGCGAAGGCGAGUCUCUGGACAGUUACUGACGCUGAGGCACGAAGGCCAGGGGAGCAAACGGGAUUAGAUACCCCGGUAGUCCUGGCAGUAAACGGUGCACGUUUGGUGUGGGAGGAUUCGACCCCUUCCGUGCCGGAGCUAACGCGUUAAACGUGCCCGCUGGGAAGUACGGUCGCAAGAUA
rnacentral:rRNA from 1 species